rnacentral:rRNA from 1 species
GAUGAACGCUGGCGGCGUGCCUAAUACAUGCAAGUCGAGCGAACAGAUAAGGAGCUUGCUCCUUUGACGUUAGCGGCGGACGGGUGAGUAACACGUGGGUAACCUACCUAUAAGACUGGAAUAACUCCGGGAAACCGGGGCUAAUGCCGGAUAAUAUUUAGAACCGCAUGGUUCUAAAGUGAAAGAUGGUUUUACUAUCACUUAUAGAUGGACCCGCGCCGUAUUAGCUAGUUGGUGGGGUAAUGGCUUACCAAGGCAACGAUACGUAGCCGACCUGAGAGGGUGAUCGGCCACACUGGAACUGAGACACGGUCCAGACUCCUACGGGAGGCAGCAGUAGGGAAUCUUCCGCAAUGGGCGAAAGCCUGACGGAGCAACGCCGCGUGAGUGAUGAAGGUCUUCGGAUCGUAAAACUCUGUUAUUAGGGAAGAACAAAUGUGUAAGUAACUGUGCACGUCUUGACGGUACCUAAUCAGAAAGCCACGGCUAACUACGUGCCAGCAGC